CUACGGGAUGCUGCAGUGGGGAAUAUUGGACAAUGGGGGAAACCCUGAUCCAGCAAUGCCGCGUGUGUGAAGAAGGCCUGCGGGUUGUAAAGCACUUUCGGUUGGGAGGACUGCUUCUAGCACUAAUAUUGUUGGAAGUUGACGUUACAUUCAGAAGAAGCACCGGCUAACUCCGUGCCAGCAGCCGCGGUAAUACGGAGGGGGCAAGCGUUAAUCGGAAUUACUGGGCGUAAAGCGCGCGUAGGCGGCUAGAUCAGUCGGGUGUGAAAGCCCGGGGCUUAACCUGGGAACUGCAUCCGAUACUGUCUAGCUUGAGUACAGGAGAGGAGAGUGGAAUUCCACAUGUAGCGGUGAAAUGCGUAGAUAUGUGGAGGAACACCAAUGGCGAAGGCAGCUCUCUGGCCUGAUACUGACGCUGAGGUGCGAAAGCGUGGGGAGCAAACAGGAUUAGAUACCCCAGUAGUC
rnacentral:rRNA from 1 species